AGUGCCGGUCCGGCCCAUAGGUUGAGUCGUAACACUUUCCUAUCGUCUUCUUUCUCUGAUCCGUCUCUCAACUAGUUAUAUUUCAUUGCUAUUUAUCAAAAAGAGGGAAUAUAUUUUUUUUUUAUUGUUAAAGUGCCAAUAUGGCAUCUCUAGUUAAGCUUUUGGCUAGAAUUUCUAAUGAAAUCUGGCCAUAAGGACUUUGAAUGGUGUCAAAUUGAAAUUAAAUGUUUUUUGUAAUAUAAAUUGAAGUUGAAAGAUGGCGAUGAAAUAAUCCUAUAAGUUGAAGAAUGAGUAAAAUUAAGCUCAAUAGGUCAAGAUAAUGAGUGAAAUUAA
rnacentral:misc_RNA from 1 species